rfam:Nesterenkonia sp. PF2B19 NODE_5_length_113305_cov_36.8098, whole genome shotgun sequence.
GGGGACGAUCGGUUUCGACGAUCUGAGUUGAGCAUGGGGAAGCGGGCCGAGGAUGUAGAGUGCCCUCGCUAAAACCCCUCUGCACACCAAUAAGUGCCGAUUCUAAGCGCACUGACUUCGCCCUCGCUGCCUGAUAGCAGCGACCGCGAGUCUGUCAGCCUGAGCUUGCUAUCGGCUCAGCAGCUGGCAUCAGCUAGAUAGCCACUGGAGCGCCGCCUUCGUCGUGGGGGCGUCGCUCGACGAUCACACGACUGGGCCCGGGUCAGCCACUUGUCUGCAAGAUGGCUGGGGCCGAGCAACGCCCGAUGCGCAGACUGCGCCCGGAGAAGUCCAUGUGAUGCCAGAUCGGACGCGGGUUCGAUUCCCGCCGUCUCCACCA